rnacentral:rRNA from 1 species
CAGGCCUAACACAUGCAAGUCGAACGAUGCUUUCGGGCAUAGUGGCGCACGGGUGCGUAACGCGUGGGAAUCUGCCGCCACGGUUCGGGAUAACCGUUGGAAACGACGGCUAAUACCGGAUGAUGACGUAAGUCCAAAGAUUUAUCGCCUGGGGAUGAGCCCGCGUAGGAUUAGCUAGUUGGUGGGGUAAAGGCCUACCAAGGCGACGAUCCUUAGCUGGUCUGAGAGGAUGAUCAGCCACACUGGGACUGAGACACGGCCCAGACUCCUACGGGAGGCAGCAGUGGGGAAUAUUGGACAAUGGGCGAAAGCCUGAUCCAGCAAUGCCGCGUGAGUGAUGAAGGCCUUAGGGUUGUAAAGCUCUUUUACCCGGGAUGAUAAUGACAGUAUCCGGGAGAAUAAGCUCCGUCUAACUCCGUGCCAGCAGCCGCGGUAAU